rnacentral:rRNA from 1 species
AUUAAACGCUGGCGGCAUGCCUUACACAUGCAAGUCGAACGGUAGCGCGGGGCAACCUGGCGACGAGUGGCGAACGGGUGAGUAAAGCAUCGGAACGUGCCCUGGAAUGGGGGAUAACGUAGCGAAAGUUACGCUAAUACCGCAUAUUCUGUGAGCAGGAAAGCAGGGGAUCGCAAGACCUUGCGUUCUGGGAGCGGCCGAUGUCGGAUUAGCUAGUUGGUAGGGUAAAGGCCUACCAAGGCGACGAUCCGUAGCGGGUCUGAGAGGAUGAUCCGCCACACUGGGACUGAGACACGGCCCAGACUCCUACGGGAGGCAGCAGUGGGGAAUUUUGGACAAUGGGCGAAAGCCUGAUCCAGCCAUGCCGCGUGAGUGAAGAAGGCCUUCGGGUUGUAAAGCUCUUUCGGUGGGUAAGAAAGUUAGCACGGGUUAAGUACCCUGUGUAGAUGAC